CACAAACUGCUACUUUAGUAGAAAUAUCAAACCAAAGGAUUCAAAACUAGGCAGCUCAUAUAAAUCAGUAAUAGUCAAGGGCCACCUCACCAGGCCUGCAAGCAACACAGUUCUUCUAUCAUGUUUGACAACGUUAUCUCAAAGCCUCUUGGGUUAGUUUUGAUUGUCACAGCUCACAUGGUGUUCAACGGCCUGAGCCAAGCUGAGAUCACUGGGCUCCCCGGCACCAACGUCACUCUUCAAUUCACGUUUAACGUCAGUGUCCCUGAAAGCUUUGCAGUUUAUACAAAAAACCACACAACAAAAUACACACAAAAGGUAGCUGGGUAUUCACAGGGCAAAAGCUCCUCAAAAGAAGAAAAUGUUAAGGUCUACGCUAAAAAUAUGUCCGUGUUCUUUCACAUUACAAAUCUCAAACUAAGUCAAAGUGGAAUUUACUGGGCCAGUUUGUUCAGGGACUUAGGACUCCCCAAAGAAAGUAAGAUGGUGGAGCUGAUCGUCCAAGAUGAGAACAGAAGCAGCACAGUGCCUCCAGUACCAAAUGACAUCACAAUAAAUGAAGACAGUGGAAGUCCCAGUUUAUUUUCUUCUCAAUUCGUCACUGUCCUUGUGGUUUCACUAGUAGUGCUGCUAGCUGCAGCAUUUUCCUUGUUGAUCUGGUGUCUCGUGAGAAGCAAAGACAAACAACAACCACCACCACAACAAAGCUCUAACCCCACAGUACAGAAAACAGAUGAGGCGUCCAACAAUGUGCCUGCACCCCCACUUGUCUACAGCUUCCUGGACUUUCCCAAAAGACCUUCGUCGGUUUUCGUGAUUAAUGCAAGUGAAACAGAGUACGCUGCUGUCAGUUAUCGCCCAGAAAAUAGACAAGGGUGACAUGCAGCUGAAUGUAAACUAAGUGGUCUCUCUCGGUUUGGGUUAUGGUAUGCAAGAUGAUUUAUAUAUAAUCCUAAUAUAUAUUUAAUAUAUGAUGAAUCCCUGCAAACCUCAAGCCAGCACACAUUAUGUGACAGUAACAAAUAAACCUCUUGAUUUGUUUUAGUUUUGUUAUCAUUAACAAAAACCAUAAAAGGACAUAAACCUACAAUUAAAAUAUUCUACUUAAACAUUCCUGCGGUGUCAAAAUCUGAUAUAUCUUAUGUAUCUGUGCCAUAGACCUUCAUUGAUGUCUAGUUUAUUUUGAGUACCACAAACAUUUUCCUCCGGCUGUAAAUACUCACCGCUGUGCCGCUGUGCCCUGUGUUAAUUAGAGUAUUUAUUUUACAUUAAAACAUUUUGAGCAGUUUUUACAUAUAAUAUAUAUUUUUGUUUUCAGACCAAUGGGCUUGUGGUUACAGACAGGAAAGUCAGAAAGUAUUGAGUGCUGGACUAACACACUCAUGGGUUUGGUCUUUUCAUGGGAUUUGUUGAUAAUAACAAAACAUAUAGAAUAAGGCUUAUUCCUUAAACCACAAUAAAAGUUAAAGUAACUAGCUAGCUAGUACAUUGUCUUCAGAUUUGUAAAUACAUUUCUGAAGUUGUGGAGGGACGACAGAUGACUGACAAGAUAUUAUAAUAUUUAUUAUACCAUAAGACCAUAAGUCUUAAAGCUAACUGACAUUUAAUUAAAAAAUAAAAUUCAACCAUUCAACCUUUCCUCUCUAGAUUUAAUUUGGACUCCAGUGUUGAAUUUUUCUGUAGUGACAUCUAUGACAAUUAAUAUUCAUAUACAAUACUAUAUCUUCAGCAUGGAGGUGUGGUAUCUUUAAAGGCUCUUUUUAGGUUUCAGGUUGAAGCUUUUCUUUAUCUUUUCUGUCAAUUAUUUUUUGAUUUGACUCAGAGUUUCCACUGUUUAAAUAAACAAAACUAAGAGCCAUUAGAGAAAUGAAACAGGAUAUGGUAAAAACUGUAUUUAGUUUAGAGAUCUCAGUUCAACAUUACUGUGUAUUCACAGGUAGCAGGAGAGAUUUUCCAUUUACUCUCUCGUGUGACAGUUUUACACAUAGGACAAUUAUCUGACACUAUCUGACUGCUAUUUUCCACUGCUUGGUCUCUGAAGUUCUCUUUUGGCAGGUUCUUGUUGAUGUUUUGAUAGAUUAGUCAGACGAAGUUUCGAUUUAUGUUCUCAAUGCCACAUUUUAAUGUCAUUAAUGCGUUGAUAUGUAUAUAUUAUGUAGAGUUAAAUUCAACCAACAUAUCUGUUAAUUAACCAGUGGCAGAUAAGCAGGUUGAUUAUUCAUCCCUGAUGUUGGUUAUUACUCAGGAAGGAAAAUAACCGACCAACCUGAUAAAUGAUGACAUGAGUUUUUGUAAAAGGUGGCCACAAUGGCAACCAAACACAGACUGAAGUUGUUGUUUUUUUAUUAUGAAAACCUUGUUGGUAAAAUAGCAAAAGUGCAUUUUGAAUCUACCAAGUUACUAAGUUUCUUGUUUUAUUAUUUCAUUGUACUGAAAUGCAGCAGUGAAUGUCAAAAUACAGUAAUACACUUUAUUUUUUGUGUGCUAAUAAUGUCCUUUGUUCAUCAAAGCUGCAAGCUGAGUUUGUUAAAUUGCUGGUGUCCUGAAUAAAAUGUCUCAC
ensembl:lncRNA uncharacterized LOC115006761